CCUCUAACAUGUGAGUUCUUGCAACCUUACUAAGUAAGUGCUCCCAUGUUGGGAUUU
rnacentral:pre_miRNA from 1 species